rnacentral:rRNA from 1 species
UAGUAAUAGAUAUAGGCUUGAAACUUAAAAAAUUUGGCGGUAUUUUAAUCUUAUUAGAGGAACCUGUUCUAUAAUCGAUAAUCCACGUUAAAUUUUACUAAAAUAUUUGUAUACCGUUGUCGAAAGAAUAUUUUAAAAUUUUCAAAAAUUUAAAAUAAAAUUUAUGUCAAAUCAAGGUGCAGUUAAUAAUUUAGAAGAAAUGGGUUACAAUAAAUUUAUUUAGGAUUUAAAUAAAAGUGGAUUUAAUAGUAAAUUAAUUUUAAUAUAAUUGAU